rnacentral:lncRNA from 1 species
AAGAAUAAGAAGAAGAAGAAUCGAAGAAUAAGAAGAAGAAUCAAAUAAGAAUCGAAGAAGAAGAAGAAAAAAAUGACUGGAAAACGAAGAACGAUGAACGAAGAACAACAAAGGAUGAACGAAGAACAAAGAAUGAUGAACGAAGAAAAAAUUACUAGACAAAAAGUAUAAGGGUGAAUUUUAUCCGAUGUUAGGUUUAACGGGGGAUAAAAUCUGUUGUUAGCUUUAACAACGGAUAAAAUUCGUUGUUAGCUUAGAAGCGGAUAAAAAUCCACCGUUAGCUUAUUUACCAUUAGUUAAUCUAACGAUGGAUUUCUAUCAGCCGUUAGGAUUCUAACAGCGGACUAUAUGCUGUUAAAAUAGAUAAAAAAACCACCGUUAAACAUGUAGUUUCUUAUAGUGUUUCAAAUCUGGACUCACAAAGCAAAUCAAUAGUCCAAGUGCAUAAAUAAUAGAGAAAUUUUAUAAGCC